CGGGUGCGAGUGGGAUGUGAGCCGUGGAUGUGGGCGUACGCAGCUUCUUCUGCCCACAGGGCCUUCUCAACCUCUCCAAAUCUGGGCACAUGCAGCACUCCAGCACAGCAGUUCUCUGGUCAACAUGGGCUUCGUAUGACUCAAAGAAUGAUCCAGUUGGACUUCCUACCCGUGGCCCCAUCUGUAGCUGUUUUGGUUAAAACAGCAGGAUCAGGCUCUGGUGCUGAAGGCUGGGGGGUAGAGAGGGGCGUGGAGGAUGUUGUGCCCUCUGGGGCACCCCCAACUUCUGACCAGCCAAAUAUUUCAUCCAUAACCUGUGGAAACAAAGAUAGGUUUAAGUUCAGCAAAGUGACAUUAAGUGGAAAUUCUGUAGUAAUUGUUGGAAAAGUCAUACUGCAUGACCUAAUUAGUGGUGUACAGUUAAAAUGGCAUAAUGUUAACAUUAAUAUCAAGACUGGUAAACAUUAUUCUACUUAUUGUGUAAUAGUCCCAGUUGAUUCUUGCCUCUCCAGUGGUCUAACAUCUGUCUUUGACCCUUUUGUAGGUUGCCAAAAUGAAAUUUUCUUCCUUAUCUGCUCCACUGAUCAUUUGUGGUCCCUUUGUAACAUGUCUUUAUGGACUCUUUUAUAAAAAGCUUGUUUUGUAAA